AGAGUUUGAUCCUGGCUCAGGACGAACGCUGGCGGCGUGCUUAACACAUGCAAGUCGAACGGAGUUAAGACUUCGGUUUUAACUUAGUGGCGAACGGGUGAGUAACGCGUGAGGAACCUGCCUCUCAGUGGGGGACAACAGUUGGAAACGACUGCUAAUACCGCAUAAUGUCAUGAACUGGCAUCGGUUUAUGACCAAAGAUUUAUUGCUGAGAGAUGGCCUCGCGUCUGAUUAGCUAGUUGGUGGGGUAACGGCCCACCAAGGCGACGAUCAGUAGCCGGACUGAGAGGUUGACCGGCCACAUUGGGACUGAGAUACGGCCCAGACUCCUACGGGAGGCAGCAGUGGGGAAUAUUGGGCAAUGGGCGAAAGCCUGACCCAGCAACGCCGCGUGAAGGAAGAAGGCCUUCGGGUUGUAAACUUCUUUUACCAGGGACGAACACAAUGACGGUACCUGGAGAAAAAGCAACGGCUAACUACGUGCCAGCAGCCGCGGUAAUACGUAGGUUGCAAGCGUUGUCCGGAAUUACUGGGUGUAAAGGGCGUGUAGGCGGAGAUGCAAGUUGGGAGUGAAAUCCAUGGGCUCAACCCAUGAACUGCUUUCAAAACUGCAUCCCUUGAGUAUCGGAGAGGCAAGCGGAAUUCCUAGUGUAGCGGUGAAAUGCGUAGAUAUUAGGAGGAACACCAGUGGCGAAGGCGGCUUGCUGGACGACAACUGACGCUGAGGCGCGAAAGCGUGGGAGCAAACAG
rnacentral:rRNA from 1 species